rnacentral:rRNA from 1 species
AUGGGGAAGGAACGUUGUUGUUUGCGAGGUCUCGAUCAUUUACAUGGACCCACUUCUCAUUCCAUUUGUGGGAAUUUGAUGAUUUAUAAACCGUCCCCAACGAGCGAAAGGUUCAUGUUUGAACAUGAUGAAUCACUUCGUGCCAACCUGUUGCCCAUAAACUUUCCUGCCUCAUAUGAGAAUGGAAAACUGGAAGAUUUUCUGCAUCGGUGGAUGAAGAAUCACGAACAUAAGAAUUUUUGGUUUAGAAUGUUCCCAGAAAGAAGAUACUUCUUUUCCAUUCGAGAAACGAGGAGCACGACUGAAGUGGCUAUACAUACAAAUCCAUUUACGGAUCUAUAUGCUCCGAUUGGAACUGGAAGUUCCAGAACUGACGGCUGGUAUACCACCAUA